GCCCCGCCAGCUCAGCGGGACAGAGCACCGCUCUCCUGAAGCGGGUGUCGCUGGUUCCAGUCCAGCGCGGAGCA
rnacentral:tRNA from 1 species